AAGAAGGGAGAGUACCUUUUAUGCUUUAUGAUAGGUCUUAAUGAUUAAGAACCAUAUCUCAAUUGAUCCUCUAAGUGAGUCUUAGUACAAUUGUAUGUCUAAGAAGAGGAAUCAAGAAUUGAAGAAAUGGUUAAAUCAAGAAGUCAAUCAUACUUCGUUCCAAAACAAGUCUUAGAGUUAAGAUUGUGACAUUGAGUGAUAAGUAUUAAGAAGGUUUAUAACAUUCAUCAAAUGUGGAAAGUUGUGAUGUCUUGGAUAAGACAAAGACCAACUAGGACCAAUUUAUGAAGUGUUUUGAUAAAAGCUACACUAACUCUUGAAUAUUUGUUUGUCAAGAAAUGUUUAUUGACAAGAGAAUCUUAUAUGUCAAGGAGUCAGUGGGAGUCUUAAUGGUCUUGAAAGGUUUCAAGAACAAAUCAAAUAAACCUUAUCGAUCAUCACUAGCACACGAGUUGAGGUUUACAACCUAUCGUGUUGACAUUAUUUUGUUUCUGUGCCAAUCCAAUCGAGUUAAUUAUGCAUGUGAGUUCUAUGAGUUCUCAUUUUGAACGCAUAAAAGGCAAAGCACCUUAAUCAAUGAAAGGUACAUUGAUAGGAAAGGGUGAGCUGCUUAACUACUUGGAAGACAUGGUGGGCAGCUGUGCUACCAUAAGGCAAGAAAUCAAGAUUAAGAAAGUUCGGUCCAUAUGAGUUUGAAUUUGUCGUAAACUUUGGUUUUAACAAAUUCACAUGGAUAGGAACACAUACACCAUUAAAAUCUAAGUGUCAUAAGAUUCCCUCCUUCAUGAAAAUGACUGUGAGGAAAUGCUUUCACUAAGGAAGAUUUUAAGAAGAUAGUGAUUGUGAAAAUUGUAUUCUCGAAUUCGAUUAUGGUUACGGUAUCCCUUUCCAUGAUUCGAAUUAUGAGAUUUGGCAAUUAGUCUAAAUUGUUUAAGACACACAUAUAAACUAUCUAAGGCAAAGGUGUAUAAGUUUAAGAAGCCUUGAUAAAAGAUUAUCAAAGCAUUGGGUAUUAGAAUUAUGAACUUAAAGAAAUUCAAUAGGCAUUGUUUUACUAAAAGUUAAGUUGUUUCUGAAUACAUGUCAAAGCUAGUGGGAGCAUAAGUGUUAUGUUUGUAAUAAUCAUCAUGAUAAUGGGAGCAUAAAUGUUAUGCUUGUAUGAUUAUUAAGGCAAGUAUUGCAAGUUAGCAAUAUUAAUUAUAGAAAACAAGAGUUAUACUUUGCAAAGUCGCAAUGGUUGAAAAGUUGUUUUGCUAUAAUUAAGGGAGAGAAUAUUAUGCUUCGUUUCAAAUCUAAAGGCUUAGGUUGUGGAAUGUUAAUAAACUUAGUCAAGGAUACAUAGUGUGUUCUUAAAUUUCGAUUAUGAUUACGACAUUCCUCUUCAUAGUUCGAAUUAUAAGAACGUAGCACAUAAAAUAUUAUGGCAGAAGAUUGAUAAAGUAUCAAAUCUUUAUAGAAGACAUUAUGCGUCGUGUCCCAUACGCUUCGGGUAUAGGAUCGAUUUCAAAUGCUAUAAUAUUUGACCAUUCUAAAAUUUUCCAAAUGUCUAGUGCAUUUAGAAGGAAAAGGACAAGAAUCGGCUUUGACUAAGAUAAUUAAACAACUAUCAGAGGACGAUUCAAAGCUCGUUGAGGAUUGGUUGCUUGUGAGUAGUUGGAAGUAUAGGAUUGGAUGGACCAUAUCAACAUUAUUAUGAAUAGAUAAGAUUCUANNNNNNNNNNNNNNNNNNNNNNNNNNNNNNNNNNNNNNNNNNNNNNNNNNNNNNNNNNNNNNNNNNNNNNNNNNNNNNNNNNNNNNNNNNNNNNNNNNNNCUAGGAGAUCUAGUACACAAAGUUGCGUGUUGAUCAAGUCCACCACAAGAGUAACACAAAUAUUCGUCAUGGUUUACUAAAGGUUUAGUAAAUACGAUUAUACUUAUAAGAAUAAGUGUAAUUAUGAAUUGAUUGAAAGAGGUUAAAUCAAUAAUAGAACGAAUAAAAGAAUCAAGUAGGCAGAAAGAUACAAGUUUCUCUAUUCUAAGGGAGAGUACCUUUUAUGUUUUAUGAUAUGUCUUAAUGAUUAAGAACCAUAUCUCAAUUGAUCCUCUAAGAAAAUCUAAGUACAAUUGUAUGUCUGAGAAGAGGAAUUAAGAAUUGAAGAAAUGGUUAAAUCAAGAAGUCAAUCAUGCUUCGUUCCAAAAACAAGUCUUAGAGUUAAGAUUGUGACAUUGAGUGACAAGUCUUAAGAAGGUUUAUAACAUUCAUCAAAUGUAGAAUGUGGAAAAAGGUUUUCUUAUUCUCACACAUUUGAAAUUGGUAAGUUGUGAUGUCUUGGAUAAGACAAAGA
rnacentral:lncRNA from 1 species